GAUGAACGCUGGCGGCGUGCCUAAUACAUGCAAGUCGAGCGAACGGACGAGAAGCUUGCUUCUCUGAUGUUAGCGGCGGACGGGUGAGUAACACGUGGAUAACCUACCUAUAAGACUGGGAUAACUUCGGGAAACCGGAGCUAAUACCGGAUGAUAUUUUGAACAGCAUGGUUCAAAAGUGAAAGACGGUCUUGCUGUCACUUAUAGAUGGAUCCGCGCUGCAUUAGCUAGUUGGUAAGGUAACGGCUUACCAAGGCAACGAUGCAUAGCCGACCUGAGAGGGUGAUCGGCCACACUGGAACUGAGACACGGUCCAGACUCCUACGGGAGGCAGCAGCAGGGAAUCUUCCGCAAUGGGCGAAAGCCUGACGGAGCAACGCCGCGUGAGUGAUGAAGGUCUUCGGAUCGUAAAACUCUGUCAUUAGGGAAGAACAUAUGUGUAAGUAACUGUGCACAUCUUGACGGUACCUAAUCAGAAAGCCACGGCUAACUACGUG
rnacentral:rRNA from 1 species